CCUACGGGUUGCAGCAGUGGGGAAUAUUGCACAAUGGGCGCAAGCCUGAUGCAGCCAUGCCGCGUGUAUGAAGAAGGCCUUCGGGUUGUAAAGUACUUUCAGUCGGGAGGAAGGUGGUGAGCUUAAUACGCUCAUCGAUUGACGUUACCGACAGAAGAAGCACCGGCUAACUCCGUGCCAGCAGCCGCGGUAAUACGGAGGGUGCAAGCGUUAAUCGGAAUUACUGGGCGUAAAGCGCACGCAGGCGGUUGAUUGAGUCAGAUGUGAAAUCCCCGGGCUUAACCCGGGAAUUGCAUCUGAUACUGGUCAGCUAGAGUCUUGUAGAGGGGGGUAGAAUUCCAUGUGUAGCGGUGAAAUGCGUAGAGAUGUGGAGGAAUACCGGUGGCGAAGGCGGCCCCCUGGACAAAGACUGACGCUCAGGUGCGAAAGCGUGGGGAGCAAACAGGAUUAGAUACCCGUGUAGUC
rnacentral:rRNA from 1 species